UACAGAGGUCUCAAGCGUUGUUCGGAUUCAUUGGGCGUAAAGGGUGCGUAGGCGGCGCGGUAAGUCGGGUGUGAAAUCUCGGAGCUUAACUCCGAAAUUGCAUUCGAUACUGCCGUGCUCGAGGACUGGAGAGGAGACUGGAAUUCAUGGUGUAGCAGUGAAAUGCGUAGAGAUCAUGAGGAAGACCAGUGGCGAAGGCGGGUCUCUGGACAGUUCCUGACACUGAGGCACGAAGGCCAGGGGAGCAAACGGG
rnacentral:rRNA from 1 species